GACCGCGAGAUCGUGACCUGGCUGAAGUCGGACGGUUAACCGACUGCGCCACCCAGGCGCCCCACUCACUAUUUCUCUUUAAAUAGACUCACGUAAUGGGAAAACCAGCCACAAAUCCAAGGGUCUGUGAUCCCGAGUCGCCUCUGGGGAUCGCCUCUGAGGCACCGGUCUGUGCUUCAGCAAGGACGCCCUGCACCCCACUGACCGCGGGCCGCUAGCCUGGGAAUGAGGCCCUCCCCAGCAAGUCAGGGGCUGGGGGAGCCUUGAGGAAACAGGUCAGGUGAGCCGGCACUGAGCGGGGGUUGAAACCUUCCAUCGGGUCAAAGGAAAGUCGGGUGACCCAGCGAUUCCAUUCCCCGGUGCGUACCCCAAAGAGGUGAAAGUUGGUGUUCAAACCAGCACUGUUCACAACGGCUAAGAGUGGAAACGACAAUGUCCGUCCGUGGACAAAUGGACCAAAAGACAGCAGACCCGCACCGUGCAACACUAUGCAGUCACGAAGAGGAACAAGGUGCUGGCAUUCGCAGGGAUCCACCUCGAAAACAUGGUCAGUGACACGAGCCGGUCACCGGAGGCCGCAUACUAUCGGAUUCUAUGAAGUGUCGAGGACAGGCGGGUCCACGGAGACGGGAACCAGACGGUGUUGCCCAGGCUGGGGUAGGGCACGGGCAUGACUGCUGAUGGCUACGGGGCAUGUUUCUCGGGGAGGAGAAUGUUCUGGAACCAGACAGAGGUGGUGGUUGUACACGACUGUGAAUUUACUAAAUGCCACCGAAUUGUACGCUUUAAA